GGACGAACGCUGGCGGCGUGCUUAACACAUGCAAGUCGAACGGGAUCCAAAGGCUUUUUGUUUUUGGUGAGAGUGGCGAACGGGUGAGUAACACGUGAGUAACCUGCCCCCUUCUUUUGGAUAACCGCAUGAAAGUGUGGCUAAUACAGGAUAUUCCAGGCUGGUCGCAUGAUUGGUUUGGGAAAUGGUUUGGUCUGGUGGGGGAUGGGCUCGCGGCCUAUCAGCUUGUUGGUGGGGUGAUGGCCUACCAAGGCGGUGACGGGUAGCCGGCCUGAGAGGGUGGGCGGUCACAUUGGGACUGAGAUACGGCCCAGACUCCUACGGGAGGCAGCAGUGGGGAAUUUUGCACAAUGGGGGGAACCUUGAUGCAGCGACGCCGCGUGAGGGAUGGAGGCCUUCGGGUUGUGAACCUCUUUCGCUCGUGUGCAAGCCGCUAUUUGGGUAGUGGUGAGUGUAGCGGGUAAAGAAGCGCCGGCUAACUACGUGCCAGCAGCCGCGGUAAUACGUAGGGCGCGAGCGUUGUCCGGAUUUAUUGGGCGUAAAGGGCUUGUAGGCGGUUUGUCGCGCCUGUCGUGUAAUCCUCUGGCUUAACUGGGGGUGUGCGGUGGGUACGGGCAGGCUUGAGUGCGGUAGGGGAGAUUGGAAUUCCUGGUGUAGCGGUGGAAUGCGCAGAUAUCAGGAGGAACACCGGUGGCGAAGGCGGGUCUCUGGGCCGUUACUGACGCUGAGGAGCGAAAGCGUGGGGAGCGAACAGGAUUAGAUACCCUGGUAGUCCAUGCUGUAAACGUUGGGCACUAGGUGUGGGGGCCGCCCUUGGUUUCUGCGCCGUAGCUAACGCUUUAAGUGCCCCGCCUGGGGAGUACGGCCGCAAGGCUAAAACUCAAAGGAAUUGACGGGGGCCCGCACAAGCGGCGGAGCAUGCGGAUUAAUUCGAUGCAACGCGAAGAACCUUACCAAGGCUUGACAUGCGCCCUGAGCGCCUAGAGAUAGGUGUGCAUUUGGUUGGGGGUGUGCAGGUGGUGCAUGGUUGUCGUCAGCUCGUGUCGUGAGAUGUUGGGUUAA
rnacentral:rRNA from 1 species